CUUCUCUCUGGAGGUGGCUUGAGCUGUUCAGAAGAGACAGGCCCAAGCCAGGCUAGGAAAGGGAAGAAGGAAGAAAGGAUUCCCCAGGAAUGGAGCUUGCUCAGGGUGGUCUCCAGAGUCGGGGGACACUUGUAGCCUCUCUCUGGAACAGUCUGGCAACUGAGUUCAAGAGCUGUGGACAGGCUAUAACUAAGGUUUUCAAGAAUCAUCUCUGACACGGAUUCCACAUACAGGUAUGCUAUCAAGCUUUCUUCGUCCUAAAGCCUCCAAUGUUGAUGGCCACACUGGGGAAUGGCCCUGGUCGGUUGGUUUUAAAAGUGAUUUAUGCCUGAGGCGGCUAAGGAUGAGUGGAGACCCCUGCGGGUGACAUAGUUACCAGGACCAGACUUGGACCCAGAAGGACUGGCUGGGCCCCUACAGGCCAAAGACGAGUGUACUCCAGGGUCUCCAUCUUCCUCACCUCAGAUCAUUUCCUGGAAGAUUGAAAACCAUCACCUCAUCUUCUGGUGGCAGGUAGAAAUGGGUGAAUAAAUUGAAGACGAUUUUGCCUUGUCUUCUGGCCCAAUAAAUCCUUCUCAGAGCACGGGACUCAUGUCUAUAGGAGGGAAGAAUGAAGGAGAAAUUACAGAAACCUUGGCCUUGUUUCCACAUGGCUGGCUUGGUGCCCUCCCCUAUCCUUACCCCCCAACUGCCCCUUUUGUUAAGAUCUUACUCAAGUUCUUCUUCUGUCAAGAUCUUGCCUCACUUCCAAACAGGGUAAUCAAUUCCAGACCCCAAAUCCCCUCAACAAAUGCAUUGUAUAGAUCUGUACUGUGGGACCCAAAACAUUGUAAUAAUAUUAUGGAUCUAAAUGGCUAUCUAAUCCGUUAGCCUGUGAGUUCCUCAAGAGUAGACUUUUGUCUUCUUCAAUUCUAUAUCCUUAAUACAUAGUAUGACAACUAGCACACAGUAGUUGUGUAGGAAACACUUGUCAAAUGAAUGAUUCGUUAGAUGAAUACCUGAAUGGGUAAAUGGAAAGUGAAUGUAUAUAAAUACUAGUAAUUCAAUGAA